AUACUUACCUAGCGUAGAGGUUACCGUGAUCAUAAAGACAGUUCCUCCGAAGCGCGGCUUGGCGCUGCACUUCGGCUGAGUUGACCUUCGUGAUUAUUUCUAAUGCGAAUAACUCGAGCGUGUAAUUGGUAGCCGGGAAUGGCGUUCGCACCUUCCCGAC